GCUCCUGCCGCUUCCUCUGCUGCUCCUCCCGGUGCCGCCGGGCUGCCUUCUGCUCCUUUCUCCGAGUGGCCUGCCGUGCCUCCAUUUCUGCUGUUAGCGGCCCCGGCACCUGGAGGAUUUCCAGGUAAGCAUAAGCUGACCUGAGCUUUGCUGUAAUCGUAAGCAUCUGGAUUCUUCUCCAUGAACCUCCGGAACUCAUUGCGUGUUGAUCUGUCAGCUGCAACUGUAUACGGUGGCCGAGCUCGGGAAUCCCUAGGUGCGAAAACCCCCAAAGCAGGUUCCGUUUGCCUGCUGCACCUCCCAAUGUUGCCCAAGCAGACCAAGGGAAAUAUUGUCAAGUAGGCAAGGCCAAGGUUAGCAUCCAGAUCAUCCUCUGUACCCUAGCAGGGAUCGGCAUGAGGACCUCACUUACUGCACAGUGGGGUCCGCACCUGCCUCCAGCAGCAGGCGAACCACUGAGCCUCUCCCAGCUGCGGCUGCUGCGUGCAGGAGAGUGAAGCCACCGGAGCCCAAGGGGGCAGUGAGCAGAGGCAGAACUCCAGGGUCUAGGGGGCUGGCAGUGAGCCGGUCCUUCAGCAUCCCCACAUCUCCAGCUCGGCAAGCAGCUAGAAGCACAUCCCAGAGCUCCAACUGACCGGGGGACAUGGCCUCAUCCCAGGGAAGCCCCAAAUGGGCUGACCCUGAAAGGGCCUCAUCUUCCUUUGGUUGCUGGGAAAGAGUCAUUUGUACCCCAGACUCCAGGUCUUGCUUUCUCUCCCUCUUAUUCCUUUUUCUCCUCCUUUGCUUGGGAAAUACCUCAAACUCACGAAGAUCCAGCGUUCCCAGUGUCACCUCUACUAGCUCCAGCUCUACCUGGGAGCCAUCCUCUCCCUCUGACUCUAAUCCUAGGGGAAAAAAGUUGCUAUGUUAGAUCCAUCUAAGGAAUAAGCAGAGGGUAGAAGGGUGUGGGCUACCCCAGAUGCCUAAGAAUGUACAUAGCGAGAUAAUCCAGAUCACUUGAAAUAAAAUUGUUUGUAUUUUGUCACCCAA